ACCCCGUGGAUCUCCACCACGCCCUUUGCUCCAUAAAAGCUGGGGCGGAAGGCCCAGACUGGGCGCUGAAGAGCUGUGUAAGGUGGCCGAGUAUGCCCGGAUCAUCGUUUGCUAGAUUCCCUCACUGUCAGGAGGGAAGGGGUAUCCCCAGAUGAAGAUACAAAGGGCUUGCCCAGACCUGUGCUCAGAGGGAUCUUGCUCCAACAGUGUCCUGAGUGCCUGGAAGGCAGGUGACAGAGGAAUCCCAGCAAAGACUGGAGAGCCCUGGCCAAAAUAACCCAUGGGACCCUGCCAGCCCCGCCUGUGUCCCCGAAUGCCAAAUGCAGACGACAGCCUGAAAACAAUUUGUCCGGCCUAUGCUUGGAUUCAGGAGGCCUUGACCGCAUCCAAGAUGACAACCCUGUCCUGACAGCAGUGACGACCAGGGGACCCUCUCAUUUGGAAAGUCCCUAACCUCUAUUACACUGAGGUGGACCUGAGUGUGAGACAGACUUCUCUACGUCCCAUCCAAAUAUCCAACCAACGCAGUCUGUGCCAUUCACUGGAGAUACAUCAUUGAAUAACACCUGCACAUUCUCCUGUGGAACUACAAUUCCUUUGUAUAUCCCAAGAAGCUAAUAUAAUACUUUUAUCUGUGAAUGUUAAGUAAGCCUCAUUGCCUCACAUACUGCCUUGGAUGUGUGCACCGAGCCUCCUAAACACCAGAUCGGGAAACAUACACCACACUCUAACCUACACACGCUCACUCACGCUCACAUUGUGCAGACAAGCUCUGGGACAGUGGGAGAGGUGCCCCCAGUGGGACUCCCAGCCCCCAGCCCCACCCCAGGCACAGCUUUUGCAGAGAUGCAUAAGGCAACGCCUCCCCGCCUGGAGAACACAUACACCUCUUCCCAAAGAGUCAUCUCGCCUAUGAAACCUUUCCCUUCAGCACCCCCAGUGGACUUGCCUACUCUGUCCUUCAUGUUGCCACGUUCCUGAGCAGACAGCCUCCACCUAUGAAAUCUUCAUCUACGUCUUCGUUGACAUGUCAGUCUUUACAUAUAAGGUCCUAUAUGGAAAGGUGACGGUAUUCCUUCAUUUGUUACCAGUCCCCAAUGCUUGGCACACGGAAGAGGUUAAUAAAUAAGUUUUAGGUCAAAAAAAAAAGUAAGUCAGAAGAGGACUUGCUAGAGUAUAGGAAGGGAUGGUGCAAGGUUAGAGGCACCAGUGAAGACAUUUGGCAUGAAGGAAAAUCACAAGAAGGGCCUGGCUGGGAUCUGAGGUCCUUCUAGAGAGGUAAUAGGACAGACCACUGAGAAGCCUGGAUGAGACUGAAUUGUGGGGUGCUCUGAAGUCAGGCAGAGAAACUUUGGCUUUAUAACUCAAACAAUAAAAAAAAUCAUUACAGGGGCGCCUGUGUGGCUCAGUCGGUUAAGCAUCCGACUUCAGCUGAGGUCAUGAUCUCACGGUUUGUG